CCUACGGGAGGCUGCAGUGGGGAAUAUUGGACAAUGGGCGAAAGCCUGAUCCAGCCAUGCCGCGUGUGUGAAGAAGGCCUUCGGGUUGUAAAGCACUUUCAGUGGGGAAGAAAGCCUUGGGGCUAAUACCCUCGAGGAAGGACAUCACCCACAGAAGAAGCACCGGCUAACUCCGUGCCAGCAGCCGCGGUAAUACGGAGGGUUCGAGCGUUAAUCGGAAUUACUGGGCGUAAAGCGCGCGUAGGCGGUCUGAUAAGCCGGUUGUGAAAGCCCCGGGCUCAACCUGGGAACGGCAUCCGGAACUGUCAGGCUAGAGUGCAGGAGAGGAAGGUAGAAUUCCCGGUGUAGCGGUGAAAUGCGUAGAGAUCGGGAGGAAUACCAGUGGCGAAGGCGGCCUUCUGGACUGACACUGACGCUGAGGUGCGAAAGCGUGGGUAGCAAACAGGAUUAGAUACCCGAGUAGUC
rnacentral:rRNA from 1 species